CUAGAGCUAAUACAUGCUGUAAAACCUGACUUUUUGAAGGGUUGUAUUUAUUAGAUAUUAAACCAAUAGCCGCAAGGUUGUUGUGAUGAUUCAUAAUAACUGAUCGAAGCGAGGCAAGCCUCGCUAAAUCAUUCAAGUUUCUGCCCUAUCAGCUUUCGAUGGUAGUGUAUUGGACUACCAUGGCAAUCACGGGUAACGGGGAAUUAGGGUUCUAUUCCGGAGAGGGAGCCUGAGAAACGGCUACCACUUCUAAGGAAGGCAGCAGGCGCGUAAAUUACCCAAACCCGAUUCGGGGAGGUAGUGACAAGAAAUAACAACUCGGGUCCUUUUGGAUUACGAGAUUGCAAUGAGAACAAUUUAGACCACUUAACGAGGAUCCAUUGGAGGGCAAGUCUGGUGCCAGCAUCCGCGGUAAUUCCAGCUCCAAUAGCGUAUAUUAAAGUUUGCAGUUAAAAAGCUCGUAGUUGAACUUCUGACUGUUGCGGACGAAGGCUUCGGUCGCGUUCGUAGCGGUCAUCCGCUUGGGAACUCCGUUCGAACUUUAUUGUUCGGCGGAAGGAACAGGCAUUUUACUUUGAAAAAAUUAGAGUGUUCAAGGCAGGCUAUCGCCCUGAAUACACAAGCAUGGAAUAAUGAAAUAGGACUGAUUCCAUUUUAUUGGUUAUUGGAGUUAGUAAUGAUUAAUAGGGACAGUUGGGGGCAUUAGUAUUUAAUUGUCAGAGGUGAAAUUCUUGGAUUUAUUAAAGACUAACUUAUGCGAAAGCAUUUGCCAAGGAUGUUUUCAUUAAUCAAGAACGAAAGUUAGGGGAUCAAAGACGAUCAGAUACCGUCCUAGUCUUAACUAUAAACUAUACCGACUAGGGAUUGGCCGGGAGGUUUCAACCCGGUCAGCACCUUAUGAGAAAUCAAAGUCUAUGGGUUCUGGGGGGAGUAUGGUCGCAAGGCUGAAACUUAAAGGAAUUGACGGAAGGGCACCACCAGGAGUGGAGCCUGCGGCUUAAUUUGACCCAACACGGGGAAACUUACCAGGUCAAGACAUAAGUGGGAUUGACAGAUUGAGAGCUCUUUCUUGAUUCUAUGAGUGGUGGUGCAUGGCCGUUCUUAGUUGGUGGAGUGAUUUGUCUGGUUAAUUCCGUUAACGAACGAGACCUUAACCUGCUAAAUAGUCAUGCUGUGAAUAACAGUAUUGACUUCUUAGAGGGACUAUGCGUUCAAGCGCAUGGAAGUUUGAGGCAAUAACAGGUCAGUGAUGCCCUUAGAUGUCCUGGGCCGCACGCGCGCUACACUGACACGUGCAACGAGUACAUCCUGGUCCGGAAGGACUUCGGGUAAUCUUCAUAG
rnacentral:rRNA from 1 species